AGAUGAGACACACGUCUGCUUAUCCGGUAGAGAGCAACUAAUGAAGCCCUCUUCACCAGAAAGCGGAAUGCUGCCAUCAAAGGCUUUGAAGCUUUUGUGGUGGUGCAGAACCUGCAAGGAAAGGUGACGCGACAUUUGUGAAAAAAAGGGAAAACCUGAAACAAAAAUAUAAAUAAGAUCAUUCUGUUACUUCUAAUACAGAAAUCAAAUGACAUUGUGCUGUUAAAAUGACUGCUUUUGUAUUAUGUUUGUGCGUCUUUGCAGGAUCUGAAAUGUCUGCAGACUGGUGUGAGCAGUGAGGAUGGAGAAGUCCACAGCAGCAUCCUGGAAAUGGUCCAGUGCCAUGGAUGAGACGCUCCAUCACUCCACCUCUUACUGUCUCAUCUGGACCAGAUGCUGCUGUGGUCUCUUCAUCCUCAGUGACCCCAGAGCCAGCGAGAGCAUCUAGAGAAACACCAAAAGACACUGAGGAUGUGAGUUUGGUUAAGUUUGUCC